rnacentral:lncRNA from 1 species
CUCGGUUGUAGUAGAAGGCGCCCCACGACGCUGCUCUCCCUGCGGCUUUCUCCGGGCCUCAGCUUUCCCCGGGCUGGACACCGCCUCCGAGGGUCCUUCCGCUCCACACCCUCCGCGACUCCGUGAUCCUCUGGGCUCGGAAGCGAGGAACCCUGGGUCUUUGUGCACGUGUCCAUGCGCUUGCUUGUGCGGUGGGGGGAAGGAGAGGGUCGCUUUGGGGUUUCCAUAGCAACCGCUCCUGUGUCACCCCUUUGCUCCCAAGUAGGCGCUCAGUGGUAGCUCCCUCCCUCCCUCCAUGGAGACCAGCUCCUCUCAGGACCCAGCCAAAGCAGAUCUGCUUCCUUAUCAGCUCAAGACAUGACAAGUAAAGACCGAGAAGAUCUUCUAGAUGUCAGGGCAGACUGGAUUUGAGGCACAGGACGAGGACUAUGGGUUUGCCUGUUUAUCAUUCCUGGAGGCCGGAGACCAGGGGCCAACUGUGUCCAGAAACCUUGUUUUCUUGUCUCAGAGGCACUGGAGCCUGAGGUGGCUGCAGCAGUGGCAGCUGAGGUUGGGAAGUUUAAAGACCAGAGCUAAGAAGGUGACACAGUAAGUCUGCUGCAGACCACGCCCACGAGCAGCUCCGAGUCCAGUGGGACAGGCAGACGCUGAGACCAACAGCUCGGAUGCCAAGUGCACAGUCCCACAGAAGAGGAGGUUACCAGGGGAGCCCAGAGGGGAGAAGAGUUGGUGCUCCCUGGAGGGACCUGGGAGGCAGAGGAGGGGGCCUGGAAGGAUGCACUCACUUAUAAGAAGAGCAUUCCAUGCAGAGGGAACAGCAUGGUCAAAGGCUGGAAGGAGACGGCGCUCCCUGGGGACCCGGCAGGCCUUGCUGCUCUGGCUUGAGUCUCCAGAGCAGCCGCAGGACGGAGAUCUCCCAGCCGCGCAGGCCCAUUGCCCAAGACGGAUGAGCUGCUCCCACGCCCUGAGAAGAGCGAGAGCGUGAAAUGGGCGCCGCUCCCGCCCUCUGGCUAAUGGCCCAUCCUCUCCGGCCAUUGCCUCCAAGAGCCCAUUGAGCGCCGCAGGGGGAG